CUUCUGGUGAAGAAGACUGACAGUAGAGUAUGUAAAAACAAAUAGAACACAAUUUAAGGUUAUAACAACGUUUAAAAGGAAACUAAGCCAGGGUGAGGGGUUGAUUAUAAACCAGAGGGGUGUUCUGAAUCUCAGGUUUACUGCUUGGUCCUCCUUCAUCAGAGAUAGGGCCAUGGCUGUUGGGUAACACUUUGUAAUUGAUGUUUGGCUUUCACAUUCCUUUCCCCUGCUUAAGUCUCACAAUAACCACGUGAUAAGUUUAGAGCAAAGAUUCAACAUGAUCUAAUAGGUGAACCUUGGUAGCUUCUUGAACUAAAAUACUUUGGGCAAGAGGCAACUUCAUUAAGCAAAAUGUAGUUGGAAAGUACGUUUUGUUUUCAUCUAAGAUAACCAAGGAACUCUUUGGCCUCUUCUUGUCCAUGUCACCCCUGGAGGUUGAUGGAGAAGGGGCUCUGGAGCCGUGACUGGGGAUGGGAGAAUUGGGUACUGGGCCAAAAUGCUGCAACUUCCCAUCUCAUGGAAACAGAGGUGAGUCACGUGGAACAUGCCGAAUCAGCCCGCACCCUGGCAACAAUCCACUGGACACUCCCCCUCCUCUGUACAGCCACCUGGUUCCACACUAAAAAGAUGCAGAGGACACUGGACCACCAGACCACAGUACUGAG
rnacentral:lncRNA from 1 species